rnacentral:piRNA from 1 species
GAGUGGAAUUAUGAUGUUAGUCACAUG